UUUGAUCACUUGUCUAGGAUAAUUGGAUUUUGCCAUGGAUGGUGAACUAAGUCAGAAAUUGAUCUUGCAGCCUUUCUCUGACUCUUUUUUUUAGUUUGUUAUUAAUUAUCAUAUGAACAAAGUAAACAUAAGCUUGUCUGAACUACUGAAUAUAUUGAAAACAGCAGAGAGCCAUUUCAAGGGUGAAAAAGCUCAGGUCCUUCAUG
rnacentral:lncRNA from 1 species